rnacentral:rRNA from 1 species
UACGAAGGGGGCUAGCGUUGCUCGGAAUCACUGGGCGUAAAGGGUGCGUAGGCGGGUCUUUAAGUCAGGGGUGAAAUCCUGGAGCUCAACUCCAGAACUGCCUUUGAUACUGAGGAUCUUGAGUUCGGGAGAGGUGAGUGGAACUGCGAGUGUAGAGGUGAAAUUCGUAGAUAUCGUCAAGAACACCGAUAGCGAAGGCAGCUUACUAGGCUGUAACUGACGCUGAGGCACGAAAGUGUGGGGAUCAAACAGG